rnacentral:pre_miRNA from 1 species
AAAGUACUCCCUCCGUCCCAAAAUUCUUGUCUUAGAUUUGUCUAGAUACGGAUGUAUCAAGUCACAUUUUAGUAUUAGAUACAUCCGUAUCUAUACAAAUCUAAGACAAGAAAUUUGGGACAGAGGGAGUAGUUG